CUAUAAAGGAUGCAACGCUACUCGGCCAGCCAGGGGCCUUGCCGGGGCACAUUCAUCUGGUCCGUUAAAUUCGCCAGCUACAGUGUGGUUUCACCCCCGCUUUUCAUUACACCCAUUGGAUGUUGUCAUUUCUUUUUUCACUUGUUGCUCCUCUGGAUAUGUCUAUGCCGAGUGGGACCAGGCACGCGUGGGGCCGACGAAUGGAGACAGCGCAGGUGCCCGCUUAUGUCGUCUUUCUUCGUCUUCUUUUUACUGUGUGGGGCGACUGCGGGUGAAACCCUGGAUCGGAGAAAAUAUCCCAAACCACUCCCCCAAUCAGUGGCGUCCUCUCGUCCCCAAUCCGCCGCCCUCCUCUCCUCACCCAAUCUCCACCUCGUGUCCCCUCUCCUCUUCUCCUUCCCCAAUCCAAUGGCGGCAGAGGUGGGCGGACUUGGCGAGCGGUAGGAGCGGAAGCAACUUGUGGCGCAUCUGGAGGAACUCCGGGAGCUCUGAUGGCGGCGGCGGUCGGACUGGACUGUGGCGGCAGCGAGCAGACGGGAACGGCUGGUCGUCUCGUGGACGGCGGCGGUGGACUGCCGAUGGCUGCAGCGGGCUUAUUCGUCCAGCAGAUUCAGCCACAGGGAAAGCAAUCCCCAUUGGUACUCGUGAACUCCAUGGCUACCAUAGGAUGUGAUUCGUUUUGCUAAGAUGAGUUGGCAGCACUUUAAUGGACCUGGCCGGUGAUUUACGAUGUUUGCGUUUGGGUGGCCCAAGAUUUCUACGAUGUUGUUGAUAACGACCAACAUCGGUGCAGGAGGAUUUAGUGCUUAUCUCUCAUGAUAAUUGUUCACUCCAGUUAUGAAGUUUCCAUAUUUAGAGGGCUGACUCAUGGUGCUAGAUGCCACUUUUGUUUAUAUCAUUUGCCUCAUCGUCAUUUCUCUAGGAUUUAGUGUUAGUUGAUUCUAAGGUUGGCUGCAGCCUACAGGUUUGAAUUCCUAAUUUGGUGCAAAUAACUAAAAUGAAUGGAUAUUAUUCUUAAUGGGUCCAGCCUCCUCGCCUAUCCCAAAUCUUCUGCCCAGCGGCUUGCCUCGUCUGCGCCAGCAUCCACGACCCUAGCCGCCGACCAUGAGCUUGUAUGGAUAUAACUGGUUAGAAAUUCUUCAUCUUUGAGGUCCUACUGGUUUUCGCCAAUGCCACGUUGCAGAAUCAUUGUCUGGUUCCAAUGUCCAUUUUGUUGGUGAGGCUGGUCAGUUCAGAUGUUGCCAGGAUACAUAAAUGGCCUGAAACAAUUUGAAAUGAGAGAGCAAUGAUUUGGUGAUUGUACCUCAAAUAUUCGUGGUCUUCAUGCUCCAUCUCAAGAUGCAGACAAUGUCCAGAUUUUGAUGGUCAUCCUUCGUUUCUAAAGCCCUCAGGUAUGUGUUGCUUCCAAGGGUCGCUUGGCUGCGCUCCGCCUGCGCUGGGUAUGAACCCUACUGGUGGAGUAGCAUGGAGAUGGAGAGAAUAGGAGCACAUCGCAGCUUUGUUGUGGUAUUUUUAUGAGAUGGAGAUCAAGUGGUUAUGAAUCUCAGUGUAUUCUAAUCAGAUCAAUUUUAUUUGUGAUGUAAUCUUGCUGAUUUGAUGCGAUUGGUCUAAAGGUGGAGGACUACAAGGGCUUGUCGGUUUGCAAAGCGUUGGUUCUUGAGAUGAGCUUAUGUGGAUCAUCUGGGAAGCUCAGGGAUGGAGCAGCAAUUCAAGGAGAUCUGGUUUGAAGUUUGGGAAGGCUUCAUUUGAUCUCUGGACUGCUUUGAUGUACGUUGAUGAAUAAGAGCACCCAUCCAAGAUACUAAGGGUUUGUUAUUUCCACCUUGAUUCCCAUUUUCUAGGGUAUCAACCAUCAUGUUGGUUAAUUGGUCGGCAAGAUAUGGCGUUUAUUGCUUCAGGUCCAAUUAAAAUGCUUCAGGUCCGACUAAAAUGUUUAUUGCUGCCAGUGGUCUCCUUAUUUUCUGAGAGAGAUACAGGAUUCUUGGGAGAAUGGCUCAUGUUUAUGACUGCCAGUGAUCUCCUUAUUUCAGAGAAUGUGCAUAAAGCUUCCGGCCUUCCCUAUAUAUUUCCAGCAGAGAAUAUAUGCAAGUCCCCUGUAUACCUGUCAGAAGGCCAACUUUCAGAUGGAUCAUCUAUCGUAGUAUUAGCUGAAGGAACUGCGAUGAAACUCUGGCAGAGCAAUUAAAGAAACAGAUUUCAGCUUCCUAAUGGAUGACAUUUGGCUUAUGAAGUAAAAAGAUAUCCAGCUGGCAGGGCAAUAUUUUGGUUGACCUCAUUCUCUUCUUUCGUCAAGGCUAGAAGGUUGCCUCAAAUGAUUCAAAUUUACAUCAAAUGAGGCAUACAGGAGGCCGUUGGAUGGGCAUUAGGUUUCCUUGUGUUGGGAGGAGGUAGUGUCGAUCCCGCUUCUGGGGAAUUGAUUUGGGUACCUUUUGAAGUUUGGUUCUCAUAUAUUGGUCCUGAAAGAUAUUUUUGUGCAAGUGGCCAAUUGAUGUUACGCUUAUUUGAAAGCCAAGCCUGGUGUGCCUGCACUGCAAUAAUCAGAGCUGGAAUCAGUGAGUGGGGCUUUCAACAUGAUUACGGGGUUGCAUCUAGCUCCACAAGCCACCUUUAUCACAUCCUUUUAAGACCUGAAUGCGACGUAGUACUACAUUACAAGGGUCAUUCAGGUAGGUGGUGUCAGUUCUUGAUUGUGUAUGACUGAUUAUGCCAAGGUAUUUAAUCUACCGUUUUUUCACUCGAUAGAGGUUUCCUAGGAUACUCAAUCUCUGCAUGUGUUAUACGCGUCGGCCAACUUUGUGUUCGCCGAUGACCAGUACCUCCGCGGCAUUAGAUAAUUUUUCCAGCGUACAGAUUUUAGUAGACAAAACGAAUGUUGUUAUGAAAGAUUUUUCAGACCAGAAAACACAUAAGAGCCUGCGAGAGCAAGGGGAACCAGUAUGCAUCUUGUUUGGAAUGCAUUUGGCCAGCUGCCAUGGAUGUGGUAUGGUGGCAUUACAAAAAUUUCUAUUUUCUUCAUGUUGGGUAGUGUGCUGUAUAACACCUCAGCUUUCUUGUUCUUCAUGUUGUGUAGUUCUACAAAGGAAAAUGAUAAAUUAGUGUACUUGUUUCUUUCUGUCAUUUAAUUGAGGAGAUGCUUAAAUUAUCUGGCACUGUUUGAAAUACUACAGAAAUAGAUGCAUGUAUAUUUACCUUUGCAGCACUUGUAUUUAUGAUACACACAUGUUGUAUUUUCCAUAGAUAAAGCACCUUUAUUUGUCUACUUCACCGUUUGAUUUACACUCAUUCACAACACAGUACACCAUGUGAUUUUCGGUGAGUUUCACACUCACAUCCAUAGUUGAUUCUGUUCCCUGUAGAAAAUUCAUAGUAGCAGUGCUGUGAGGAUUAUAAUUUAUCUGAUGUGCUAUGCUUUGUUAUGUUAAUGGAUUUGACAAAGAUAAUGAUGACCCAAGCAUGUUUUAUUUCAUAGUUGUGGAACUCUAAGCAAGGCGCAGUUCCCCUCCAAGUUACCCUCCAAGUGUACAGCGUGUGAUUCGCCAUGUUGAGGAAUCCUGCAUUUACUUGCAUAUAAUCCUCCCUUUUUUUUUGUAAAAUUAGAGCUUAAAUCAGCUAGCCAGUGGCAGCUAAAUGCCCAGGUAGGUUGAGAUAUUGAUGGAGCUGAUAAUCUCUAUUACUUUAUGAAUUAAUGAUUGCUGGUAUCACUAGGAUAGUAGUUAAUGAAUCUUGAAAUCAUGUCUCGCCAUGCAUAAUUUUGCUGAUUGGUAUAACCAUGUUACCUACGAUAUUGGUUCUUGUUUUGAGUACAAGAAAAUAAAGAUUGGGGGCAUUGAAAGUAUCCUUUUUUGUAGUUAAACUAGAUGACCACUUCUGAUGUUGUUUUGCAAUCAUGAUAUGUUCUGAAUUUCUAUUGGAAGGGUGGUGAUGAUGUCGCUCUGUGGACAGCCUGGCAGAAGAUGAAGCGGCCGAUUACCUGAAAUUGUUUUACCGUGUAGCUUACUACUAAUCUAAGACAUCUCUAUUGCUUGGUUCAUUGUAAUCUGGUAUACUGUUGCAGUAGAGCUUUAUGAUGACAUUAUUGUCACUUUACUUCCAAUAUAGUAUUAUUGCUGCUUAAAAUUUACAUUAUUUAUGGGUAUUUCCUUGCCAUUCAUGUAAACAAUGUACCUUCAAAAUAGUUACUAUGAUCAGUAGUAGAUAUCGCUGAUUCACUCCAGCUUUGUACAAACUCUGGUCGACACUUCAUAUGAA